rnacentral:rRNA from 1 species
AACGAACGCUGGCGGCAGGCUUAACACAUGCAAGUCGAGCGAGAAAAGUUCUUCGGAGCUUUUCUAGCGGCGGACGGGUGAGUAACACGUGGGCAACCUGCCUCAUAGAGGGGAAUAGCCUUCCGAAAGGAAGAUUAAUACCGCAUAAUGUUGUUGAAAGGCAUCUUUUAACAAUUAAAGGAGCAAUCCGCUAUGAGAUGGGCCUGCGGCGCAUUAGUUAGUUGGUGAGGUAACGGCUCACCAAGGCGACGAUGCGUAGCCGACCUGAGAGGGUGAUCGGCCACAUUGGAACUGAGAUACGGUCCAGACUCCUACGGGAGGCAGCAGUGGGGAAUAUUGCACAAUGGGGGAAACCCUGAUGCAGCAACGCCGCGUGAGUGAUGAAGGUCUUCGGAUUGUAAAGCUCUGUCUUUAGGGACGAUAAUGACGGUACCUAAGGAGGAAGCCACGGCUAACUACGUGCCAGCCGCCGCCGUAAAAC